CCCGUCCACCGAUUGACUAAGGUUUCCAGAGGAAGGCUCGUCCGCUCUGGGUUAGUCGGGUCCUAAGCUGAGGCCGACAGGCGUAGGCGAUGGAUAACAGGUUGAUAUUCCUGUACCACCUAUAAUCGUUUUAAUCGAUGGGGGGACGCAGUAGGAUAGGCGAAGCGUGCGAUUGGAUUGCACGUCUAAGCAGUAAGGCUGAGUAUUAGGCAAAUCCGGUACUCGUUAAGGCUGAGCUGUGAUGGGGAGAAGACAUUGUGUCUUCGAGUCGUUGAUUUCACACUGCCGAGAAAAGCCUCUAGAUAGAAAAUAGGUGCCCGUACCGCAAACCGACACAGGUAGUCAAGAUGAGAAUUCUAAGGUGAGCGAGCGAACUCUCGUUAAGGAACUCGGCAAAAUGACCCCGUAACUUCGGGAGAAGGGGUGCUCUUUAGGGUUAACGCCCAGAAGAGCCGCAGUGAAUAGGCCCAAGCGACUGUUUAUCAAAAACACAGGUCUCUGCUAAACCGUAAGGUGAUGUAUAGGGGCUGACGCCUGCCCGGUGCUGGAAGGUUAAGAGGAGUGGUUAGCUUCUGCGAAGCUACGAAUCGAAGCCCCAGUAAACGGCGGCCGUAACUAUAACGGUCCUAAGGUAGCGAAAUUCCUUGUCGGGUAAGUUCCGACCCGCACGAAAGGCGUAACGAUUUGGGCACUGUCUCAACGAGAGACUCGGUGAAAUCAUAGUACCUGUGAAGAUGCAGGUUACCCGCGACAGGACGGAAAGACCCCGUGGAGCUUUACUGUAGCCUGAUAUUGAAAUUCGGCACAGCUUGUACAGGAUAGGUAGGAGCCUUUGAAACGUGAGCGCUAGCUUACGUGGAGGCGCUGGU
rnacentral:rRNA from 1 species